UUCAACUGCUCGAUUUUUUACCAGUGGUUGCCUAGGGUUUUAACGACUAGUCGUUAACUGUUUUGACCUUCGUUUCACUCCUUUCCCUACUCCUACUCAAUACGUUCUCGUCGUACAGAACGGUAACAUGUCUCUCAAUUAUCCAUGCUUGGGUACACGGGGAAACCCUAUCCCUUGGGAGGAUGAGGGGUGCGGCAAAAUUGAGAGGG
rnacentral:ribozyme from 1 species